rnacentral:tRNA from 1 species
AGGGUCUUAUCUUAAUUUAAAGUUUUUGAGUUGCAUUCAGAAUAUGUGGGUUAGUAUCCUGCAGGCUCUA